UGGACGGAUUAUUGUAUUCGACUGUAUUCACGGCGUGAAACAGGGGAUUACACUGUUUUUAAACGGAAAGUGAAUCAAUUAACAUAAUAGACCCCU
rnacentral:pre_miRNA from 1 species